GUGCGAUGGUAAAAACGAGACGUUGGU
rnacentral:sRNA from 1 species